GUCAGUUACAGAUUGAACUCCUGUU
rnacentral:piRNA from 1 species